rnacentral:rRNA from 1 species
GACGAACGCUGGCGGCGUGCUUAACACAUGCAAGUCGAACGGAAAGGCUCCAGCUUGCUGGAGUACUCGAGUGGCGAACGGGUGAGUAACACGUGGGUGAUCUGCCCUGCACUUCGGGAUAAGCCUGGGAAACUGGGUCUAAUACCGGAUAGGACCGCACUUUGGUGUGUGUGGUGGAAAGGUUUUUCUGGUGUGGGAUGAGCUCGCGGCCUAUCAGUUUGUUGGUGGGGUAAUGGCCUACCAAGACGGCGACGGGUAGCCGGCCUGAGAGGGUGGACGGUCACAUUGGGCCUGAGAUACGGCCCAGACUCCUACGGGAGGCAGCAGUGGGGAAUAUUGCACAAUGGGGGAAACCCUGAUGCAGCGACGCCGCGUGGGGGAUGAAGGCCUUCGGGUUGUAAACUCCUUUCGCUAGGGACGAAGCUUUUUGUGACGGUACCUGGAGAAGAAGCACCGGCUAACUACGUG